GAUAUCUUGGCUCUCGCAUCGAUGAAGAACGUAGCGAAAUGCGAUACUUGGUGUGAAUUGCAGAAUCCCGUGAACCAUCGAGUCUUUGAACGCAAGUUGCGCCCGAGGCUAUUUGGCCGAGGGCAC
rnacentral:rRNA from 1 species